rnacentral:tRNA from 1 species
GGUCCUAUAGCUCAGCUGGUUAGAGCACCUGACUCAUAAUCAGGGGUGUCAUGGUUCGAGCCCAUGUGGGAUCACCA